rnacentral:rRNA from 1 species
GUCCUAGCUGUAAACGGUGCACGUUUGCUGUAAUCGGAAUUGACCCCGAUUGUGGCGAAGCUAACGCGUUAAACGUGCCGCCUGGGGAGUACGGUCGCAAGAUUAAAACUCAAAGAAAUUGACGGGGGCCUGCACAAGCGGUGGAGUAUGUGGCUCAAUUCGAUGCAACGCGAAGAACCUUACCUGGCCUUGACAUGCACGUGGUAGAAGUGUGAAAGCAUAACGACCCCGCAAGGGGAGCGUGCACAGGUGCUGCAUGGCUGUCGU